AUUGAACGCUGGCGGCAGGCCUAACACAUGCAAGUCGAGCGAGCGGCGGACGGGUGAGUAAUGUAUGGGGACUGCCCGAUAGAGGGGGAUAACUACUGGAAACGGUAGCUAAUACCGCAUACUAUCGGAUAACCCAUAUGGGAUUAGCUAGUAGGUGCGGUAAUGUCUCACCUAGGCGACGAUCGCUCGCUGGUCUGAGAGGAGGAUCAGCAACACUGGGACAGAGACAAGCCCCAGACGACAAGGGAGGGAGCAGUGGGGAAUAUUGCACUAUGGGCGAAAGCCUAUAGGAGCAAGGCCGCGACGAUGAAGCAGGCCUUGGUGUUGAAAAGGACUUGCAGCCGGGAGGCGUUAACUACAGAAGAAGCACCGGCUAUCUACGUGCCAGCAGCCGCGGUAAUUC
rnacentral:rRNA from 1 species